GGGGACCCCCGGACAGUUCGUGAUAUCGCGGCUCUUGUGCAGUCGCAUUCCCCCAUGUUCGUGUUUUUGUGUGAAACAAGGCAAAAAGCAAGUAGAAUGAAGAGGAUUAGAGGUCGUCUGGGACUCCAAGGGUUUGAAGGAGUUGACAGUAAUGGGCUUAGCGGAGGUCUGGCCCUGUAUUGGCAUAAG
rnacentral:rRNA from 1 species